ACACAUGCAAGUCGAGCGGUAGCACAGAGAGCUUGCUCUCGGGUGACGAGCGGCGGACGGGUGAGUAAUGUCUGGGAAACUGCCUGAUGGAGGGGGAUAACUACUGGAAACGGUAGCUAAUACCGCAUAACGUCGCAAGACCAAAGUGGGGGACCUUCGGGCCUCAUGCCAUCAGAUGUGCCCAGAUGGGAUUAGCUAGUAGGUGGGGUAACGGCUCACCUAGGCGACGAUCCCUAGCUGGUCUGAGAGGAUGACCAGCCACACUGGAACUGAGACACGGUCCAGACUCCUACGGGAGGCAGCAGUGGGGAAUAUUGCACAAUGGGCGCAAGCCUGAUGCAGCCAUGCCGCGUGUGUGAAGAAGGCCUUCGGGUUGUAAAGCACUUUCAGCGGGGAGGAAGGCGAUAAGGUUAAUAACCUUGUCGAUUGACGUUACCCGCAGAAGAAGCACCGGCUAACUCCGUGCCAGCAGCCGCGGUAAUACGGAGGGUGCAAGCGUUAAUCGGAAUUACUGGGCGUAAAGCGCACGCAGGCGGUCUGUCAAGUCGGAUGUGAAAUCCCCGGGCUCAACCUGGGAACUGCAUUCGAAACUGGCAGGCUAGAGUCUUGUAGAGGGGGGUAGAAUUCCAGGUGUAGCGGUGAAAUGCGUAGAGAUCUGGAGGAAUACCGGUGGCGAAGGCGGCCCCCUGGACAAAGACUGACGCUCAGGUGCGAAAGCGUGGGGAGCAAACAGGAUUAGAUACCCUGGUAGUCCACGCCGUAAACGAUGUCGAUUUGGAGGUUGUGCCCUUGAGGCGUGGCUUCCGGAGCUAACGCGUUAAAUCGACCGCCUGGGGAGUACGGCCGCAAGGUUAAAACUCAAAUGAAUUGACGGGGGCCCGCACAAGCGGUGGAGCAUGUGGUUUAAUUCGAUGCAACGCGAAGAACCUUACCUGGUCUUGACAUCCACAGAACUUUCCAGAGAUGGAUUGGUGCCUUCGGGAACUGUGAGACAGGUGCUGCAUGGCUGUCGUCAGCUCGUGUUGUGAAAUGUUGGGUUAAGUCCCGCAACGAGCGCAACCCUUAUCCUUUGUUGCCAGCGGUCCGGCCGGGAACUCAAAGGAGACUGCCAGUGAUAAACUGGAGGAAGGUGGGGAUGACGUCAAGUCAUCAUGGCCCUUACGACCAGGGCUACACACGUGCUACAAUGGCAUAUACAAAGAGAAGCGACCUCGCGAGAGCAAGCGGACCUCAUAAAGUAUGUCGUAGUCCGGAUUGGAGUCUGCAACUCGACUCCAUGAAGUCGGAAUCGCUAGUAAUCGUAGAUCAGAAUGCUACGGUGAAUACGUUCCCGGGCCUUGUACACACCGCCCGUCACACCAUGGGAGUGGGUUGCAAAAGAAGUAGGUAGCUUAACCUUCGGGAGGGCGCUUACCACU
rnacentral:rRNA from 1 species